rnacentral:rRNA from 1 species
UCUAAGUAUAACCUGCCAGACAGGGAAACUGCGUACGGCUCAUUACACCAGCCUUAAUUUACUUGACCUUGACAACCUACUUGGAUAACUGUGGUAAUUCUAGAGCUAAUACAUGCACCAAAGCUCCGAUCCUCGCGGAGAGGAGCGCAUUUGUUCGCCACAAAACCAAGCGCCCAUCUGGGCGUCCAGUGCUGAACCAGAACUACUCAGCUGAUCGCACGGUCUUGUACCGGCGACGUGUCUUUCAAGUGUCUGCCUUAUCAACUUUCGAUGGUAGUGUACCUGACUACCAUGGUUGUGACGGGUAACGGAGGAUAAGGGUUCGACUCCGGAGAAGGGGCCUGAGAAAUGGCCACUACGUCUAAGGAUGGCAGCAGGCGCGCAAAUUACCCACUCUCAACGCGAGGAGGUAGUGACGAG